rnacentral:lncRNA from 1 species
ACAGCUUCACUACUUCCUGCCUCUGGAACCCUGAGUCAGUCCCUCUCGGGGCCUCGGCUUCCUAAUCUAUCAAAGAAGACAAUGGUAUCUGAGGCUGGCUUGGAGUAGUAGAGGGUACCUGGAAGCUCUUUGCACACAGUCAACUUCAGGAGAAAAAAAAGGCUGCAUCAGGGAAGACAAGUAGUUGGGAAUGGCUGGAGCAUAGAAUCAUGCAGAGAAGCAAAGGAGCAGAAAAGAACUUUCUUCUGACUUCCAGUAUAAAAAUACUAUAACCGCCAUGGCAAUCAGAGAGGACUAUCUGCCAGACGUUCUGCCAUGAGACAUCGCGAAGGUGAUUAUCACAAGAGGAGCCCCACAGCAGGUGAAUAAUAUGUUGAACAUGAGGUAUUCGCAUAGCAGCCAAGAAUAUUCCAG